UGGUUUGGAAUGGACCUCAUUCACCAAUCGUAAACAAACACCCCUCAAGUCACGUGACAACCAUCAGUUUAAUCUAGACACCAACAUGGAAUCUAUUGUUAGAAAACCACUCUUGCUUGUAAAUUUUACUUUUGUUAACUUGUUAGAAUAUUGCGAUGUUAUAAAUGCAGCAUAUGCAUGUGAAAAUGAUUACAGACACGUAAUUUAAUUACAAUGUUACUGGAGUGAUUAGCUACAAUGGAAAGGUCAUUGAAGGAGAGUGUCAGUGUGCAGGGGGUUGCAAGCCCGCCUGUUGUAAACAUCUUUUUGGUCUUCUGUCUGCUCUAGAAGACUAUAGCAAAAAAGAAAUGUAUGCAGCACCAACAGACAAAAUUCAGACAUAGCAUCAACCUGCACCCAAAGCCUCAGAGAAUGAAGGAUAGUUUUAGCUGUGAUAAGACUGGUCUACAAAAUUUUGAUACCAGUGUUUCAAUGUCUGCUUUGGCUGCCUUACCUCAGAACACUCCUAUAUUUUCAGUUCUACAAGCCGAUCCUAAAAGAUUAACCUCGGACAUUGUCUUCUAUGACAGAACUAUACCAUUACCAUCUAUAUUUUUUUAGCUUUGUGAUGUUUGCGAUUCAUUUUGUAGUUCAUUUAAAUAGAUAUGAUACAUUGUCAUAGCAAAAUAAAGUCUUUGUUUCUUUAUAA